CGGCGAGUUUGGAUGCGGCGAUCACCGCUAACGGUGGCGCGGCGGCGGAGAAAGAAAGGGUUUUGAUUUUGAUAUCCAUCUUCGUCGUCGCUUUGUGCACUGUGCUGCUAGGUCAAGACUAGAGUGAGUUUUCGGUAACUAACUUCUUACUAUCGCAGUCGCAAAAAUAGUAGAAUUUAGGUUUAAACGUGUCAUUGUCUCUGCACUUUCAUCAGAUCUUGACAUCGGUCCCUGCACUUUGUAAAUAUUGGUAUCGGUCUCUUUGUUAACUUUCUGUUAAAAAAAAAACACAAAACCAACGGUGUGCCACGUGGCCCAAUCAUUUCACGCCACGUGGCACCAAUAUCAAUAUUUUUACAAAGUGCAAGGACCAAUACCAAUAUUUUUACAAAGUACAGGGACCAAUACCAAUAGUUUUGUGUUUUUUUUUUUUGAACUAAUAGAGGGACCAAUACCAAUAUUUUUACAAAGUGCAGGGACCAAUUUCAAACAAAAAAAUGUGUAGGGACCAAUGUCAAAAUCUGAUGAAAGUGCAAGGACUAAAGACAUAUUUAAAUCUAGAAUUUAUAAAGAGCAGUGAUAUUUGAACAACC
rnacentral:lncRNA from 1 species